AUUGAACGCUGGCGGCAGGCUUAACACAUGCAAGUCGAACGAGUGGCGGACGGGUGAGUAAUGCUUGGGAAUCUGGCUUAUGGAGGGGGAUAACUACGGGAAACUGUAGCUAAUACCGCGUACCAUAGGAUGAGCCCAAGUGGGCUUAGGUAGUUGGUGGGGUAAAGGCUCACCAAGCCGACGAUCCCUCGCUGGGUUGAGAGGAUGACCAGCCACACGGGGACUGAGACACGGUCCAGACUCAUACGGGAGGCAGCAGUGGGGAAUAUUGCGCAAUGGGGGCAACCUGACGCAGCCAUGCCGCGUGAAUGAAGAAGGCCUUCGGGUUGUAAAGUACUUUCGGUAGCGAGGCGUUAACUACAGAAGAAGCACCGGCUAACUCCGUGCCAGCCGCCGCGGUAAUAC
rnacentral:rRNA from 1 species